rnacentral:rRNA from 1 species
CCGCUGAACUUAAGCAUAUCAAUAAGCGGAGGAAAAGAAACCAACAGGGAUUGCCCUAGUAACGGCGAGUGAAGCGGCAACAGCUCAAAUUUGAAACCUGGCGCUUGCGUCCGGAUUGUAAUUUGUAGAGGAUGCUUCUGGGCAGCGGCCGUUCUAAGUUCCUUGGAACAGGACGUCAUAGAGGGUGAGAAUCCCGUAUGUGACCGGCGCGCACCCUCCACGUAGCUCCUUCGACGAGUCGAGUUGUUUGGGAAUGCAGCUCUAAAUGGGAGGUAAAUUUCUUCUAAAGCUAAAUAUUGGCCAGAGACCGAUAGCGCACAAGUAGAGUGAUCGAAAGAUGAAAAGCACUUUGGAAAGAGAGUUAAAAAGCACGUGAAAUUGUUGAAAGGGAAGCGCUUCCAACCAGACUCCGCGGCGGUGUUCCGCCGGUCUUCUGACCGGUCCACUCGCCGCCGUGGGGCCAACAUCGUCUGGGGCCGCCGGAUAAGACCGGAGGAAUGUAGCUCAUUGAGUGUUAUAGCCUCCGGUGAUGCGGCGCGUCCCGGGCGAGGUCCGCGCUUCGGCAAGGAUGUUGGCGUAAUGGUUGGCAGCGGCCCGUCUUGAAACACGGACCAAGGAGUCUAACAUCUAUGCGAGUGUUCGGGUGUCAAACCCCUACGCGUAAUGAAAGUGAACGGAGGUGGGAGCUUCGGCGCACCAUCGACCGAUCCUGAUGUCCUCGGAUGGAUUUGAGUAAGAGCAUAGCUGUUGGGACCCGAAAGAUGGUGAACUAUGCCUGAAUAGGGUGAAGCCAGAGGAAACUCUGGUGGAGGCUCGCAGCGGUUCUGACGUGCAAAUCGAUCGUCAAAUUUGGGUAUAGGGGCGAAAGA